GUAGGUGGCAAGCGUUGUCCGGAAUUAUUGGGCGUAAAGCGCGCGCAGGCGGUCCUUUAAGUCUGAUGUGAAAGCCCGCGGCUCAACCGUGGAGGGUCAUUGGAAACUGGGGGACUUGAGUACAGAAGAGGAAAGCGGAAUUCCAAGUGUAGCGGUGAAAUGCGUAGAGAUUUGGAGGAACACCAGUGGCGAAGGCGGCUUUCUGGUCUGUAACUGACGCUGAGGCGCGAAAGCGUGGGGAGCAAACAGGAUUAGAUACCCUGGUAGUCCACGCCGUAAACGAUGAGUGCUAAGUGUUAGGGGGUUUCCCGCCCCCCUUAGUGCUGCAGCUAACGCAUUAAGCACUCCGCCUGGGGAGUACGCCGCAAGGCUG
rnacentral:rRNA from 1 species